CUUGUGCCUUCACUGUAGUCUUCAUCCAGGAGGACCAGGAAGGAACAGAGCAGCACUGACAUCUGCCAGUCCCUGGGGUCAAGUGGCUUAAAAAAGGCACAGAUGUGACCUAAAUCCUGAUCACUGUGCUGGGGGCUCUCCUUGUGAAGACCGCAUCUUAGGGGACAGCCAGCCAUCUCGUUCCCUGAGGAUGUGCUGCCGUGGAUGCUGCUGUGAGUAUCACUAUUGCCAUUGUUAUGGUAACCACUUACAAGCACCUGCUAUGUGCCAGGUAAGAUAUUUGGCCAUCGUAGUGUAUAAGUGGUCAAGAGCACAUGGCUUACUGAUUCUGAACCUCAUUUAUUAUACCAAAAGUUCCAGAAGGAACAAAGAUUUAAAUGCAAUGGAGCUUGUGCCAAGACUUAUGGACAAGGAUACACUUUAGAGCCCCAAUAUAAUAGCAAAAGACAGGAAACCACUGAAGGCUCGUCGACAGAAGUUGAUUAAAUAAGUUAUAGCAUAUCCAUUUGUAGAAUACUCUGCAUUAGUUAAAAAGAAUGAGGCUAGGUCUGUAGCCAUUGAUAAUGAAACAAUCUCCAAGAUAUAAGUAAAGUGAAAACAAAGCAAGUUGUAGAAGAAUAUCUAGCAUAUGCUACUGUGUGAAAGCAAACAGAAGAGUAUAUGUAUAGACUAAUUUUAGAAAGAAAAAGGGAGUUGACAACAGUGAUUGCUUUUGGGAGAUGUGUUGAUGAUCUGGGUAGCAGGGACACUUACUUUUUAUGUUUCAAGGGAGUUAGGUCCUUUUUAUUCCUUACCAUAUGCAGGUAUUAUUUUUGAAUUUAAAAAGUUUAAGAAAUAAAUGCUGUGGAGUCAGACUUGGAUGUAAAUCCAAUUGCUAUCAAUUUCUAGCCAUGUGGCCUUGACUAAGUUACUUACCCUCUUCUAGUCCUGGUCUUCUAGCUGCCAGAGGGGGACACUCUGUAGCUUGUGGUGAGGGUUAAGCGAGAUAGUGCCUGUGAAGUUCUCAGCACAGUGUCUGGCACAAAAGCAAACCCUCAAUUGUUAGAUGCUUGCUCUGAACUGUUUAUGUCCCUCCAAAAUUCAUAUAUUGAUGUCCUAAUCACCAAUGUGAUGGUAGUUGGAGGUGGGGUGUCUUUGGAAGGUAAAUAGGUUUAGAUGAGUUCAUGAGGGUGGAGCACGCAUGAUGGGUAACCCUUAUAAGGAGAUGAAGGGACCAGAGCUCUCUCUACCUUGUGAAGACACAACAAGGAGACAACUGUCUGUUCACCAGGAAGAGGGAUCUCACCAAGAACCCAAGACUGCCAGCCUCUAGAAGUGUGAGAAAUAAAUGUUUGUUGUUUAAACCACCCAAUUGUUAUAACAGCCCAAACUGACUAAGACAGUGCUUUACGUAAGUAUCUCUAAUUAGCAUUCUGGAUGUAGUACUAUUCAGUUAAGCUAUGUUCUGUGCAUUAGGCACCUAGCAAAAUCUGAUGAUGUGCAAGCAAUGGAAGAGUCACACAGUGGAGAACCAACUGCAACAAUCCCAGGAGCAAAGUGCUAUGGGACCACAGAAGAAAGAAGAAGAGCUGGAAGGACUGACAGGCUCCGGUGGCCACCCUACAACCAGAAGACAGACACCUGACAAUGUAUUGUCAGAUGAUGGAUUAGCCAAGCCUGGGGAAGAGAGCUGAGUGUACAGCUUCCCUCCCAGUCUCCUGGGUGACAAAACCGCUGGAUGACCCCGCCAACAAUAAUGAGAUGAAAAUGAAGAACACUGCAGUAUAAUGAGCAUGAUAAAAUAGAGAUGUUGCUAAAUAAUGGGUCGGCCAUGGCUGAGGAGCAGGAGAAAGAGCCAAGCCCAAAGGAGGUGGAUAAGGCCUUCCUGUGUGGUCUCCAAGCCUGACCCCCUGAUGUGUUGCUGUUGCUCAACCAGGCCAUAGAUGGUUUUGAGUCCCUAGGGUGGCAAAGAUGUCAGAGAGGGACUAGAGGGUGGGCCUAAGUGAAAAUCCCCAGCAGGCUCUAUCCUGGUCACUGUGGCUCUGACCUCCACCAGGGGAGGGACAAAAGUGUGGUAAGCACACAUGCUGAUGGUGGUUAUGAAUUACUGCCUUUAGUAGGAACCUGUUGCCUGCCAAUGAGUAUCAGCAAAUGGUCUGAGUUAACGCAUCAAAGUUUUUCAGAACAUUGCACCUCUCAUCUACAUAGUGCAGAGUGGAAGAAGCCUGUUAAUUAUGCUUUUGUUUGUAUUUUUGUUUAGUUGGUAGCUUGGAGUAUCUGCCAGCAGAGGCAGCUGCCCCUAGGGAGGGAGGUACCUGGGUGCUACAGGGAUGGCUGCCUGUAAAGAUUUCUGGCACCAAGCCUCUCUGCAGUUUUUGUUUUUUAUUUUUUAAAUAAUUAAAUUAAGACUUAUUUUUGAAUAAGUAAUAUCUACAUAGAGUACAAAAUUUAAAAGGAACAAAAGGGGUGCAGGAAACAUACAUAUCCCUUCUUCUCCCCCUAUUCCCAGCCACCCAUUUUCCUUCCCUCGAGGCAACCACUGUUACCAGUUUCUUCUGCAGUUUUCCAGAGAUAUUCUAAGCAUAAAUAAGUGCAUGUACCUCAACCUGCAAGCAUACUUACCAGUUUUUUUUUUUAAAAAAACACAAAUGUUAACGUACUGUAUCAACAAGAGUCCUGACAGAAAACAGAUGGCACACAUAAAGUGAGUCAUUUCAGUAGAGUUUAAUAAAUGGACUGUUUACCAAGGUGUAGGAAAAGCCCAAAGCCAGCAACAGUUGAGUGAGAGGGCACAGUGACAUAGUGUGAGCAACACUGCCAGUUGAGGAGCAUUCCAGGGAGGUGUGGGGGCAUAAUCACCUGUCCUUCCUCUCCUCCCUCUGACCUUUUGCUGCAGCACCUCAUGGGCUGCACUCAACCUAAGCCAGAGAACAAGAGUCUAUUGAUGCAGUUUAAAGAGGUCACUCUGGGGCACGGAACAGGUGGGGAAGGGCCAAGAGUGAAUAAGGAGGGCAAAUGUGGGCACUCAGCUCAUGCACUCAGCUCCUCAUCCUGUUCUUUGCUGUUUUCCACUUCACAGUCUAUCUGUACAUAGAGCCUCAUUCUUUCUGCUAGCUUAUUCUAUUGCAUUUCCGUUGUGGAAUACCACGCCACAUGCAAGAGACUGAAUUGUGACCCCCACCCCAAUUAUAUGUUGAAGUCCUAACACCCAAUGUUAACUGUAUGUAGAGUGAAGAAGUCAUUAAAGUUAAAUGAGGCCAUAAGGGUGAUGCCUAGAAUAAGGCUUAUUAAGAGGAGACACCAGAGCUCUCUAUCUGUCAUGUGAGGACACAGCCAGAAGAUGGCAGUCUGCAAGCCAGGAACUCAUCAGAAAACCCAGCAGCAGGAACCCUGAUCUUGAACUUCCCAGUCUCCAGAACUGGGAGAAAGAAAUGUCUGCUCUUUAACCCACCCAGUUCAUGGUAUUUUGUUAUGGCAGCCUGAGCUAAGACACCACACACACACACACACACACACACACACACACACACACACACACACACGUAAUAUAUCACAAAAAUAAUAAUAUAUACAACCAUAUAUUCAACUAGUCCCUCACUGAUGGUCUUUUAAGAUAGUUUCCAAUUUUCUGCUAUUACAAACAAUGCUGCAAGGCAAAUCCUUUUACUGCCAUUUCACUGGUAAGGAUACAUACAGAAUAAAUUCCAUAGGAAUUUAUUUAUAGGAAGGGAUUGUUGUAUCAAAGAAUGUAUGCUUUAAAAAUGUUGAUAGAUUCAGCUGCAGCACCCUGCAUAGAAUUUGCACCAAUUUGCAUGCACAUUAGCAAUGUAUAAGGUUCCCAUGCAGUUUUUAAACAUCUGGGUUUCGAAGACGUGAAUAAACUUAUUACAGCAUCUUUCCAGCAGUGCCUGUCACCUUACAAGACAUAAACUUUUCUUGUUUUUGAAAUUAUGAGAAUACAUAAUUCUCCUCUUGUUUUCUGUCCUGUCUUUCAGCUUUUUUCAGCAGGGAUAAAAUUCCUCCACUCCUGAAUGAAAUUCUUAUGGUUUUUCUUUGGGCACAGUUCUGACUCAUUUUAAGUCAUAAAUUAACUGCCUCAGUUAAGAUGUUAAGUAUCCAGUUUUUCUUUCUGGGCAUGAACAAGCCAAUUAUAUAUGAAAACAUACCUUAGAGACAGUUAGGAAACCCACAUAUGUACAGGUACCAGGACAUGCCAAGGAAUCAUCAUUAAUCCCACAACAUUGCUGUGGCACGCAGGAAAACAUCCUUAUUCUAUGAAGAGGCAGUCUGAAGUAUCCAGAAAUGUGAAACACACGUCUUCAAUCUACCCCAACACUUCAGCAAAAACAAGAUGAAGCAAAUAUGCAAAACAGUAACAAUCAUUACAUCUAGGUGAUGGACACCUUCCUUUAUGUUCAACAACUCUCAUAAUAAAAAACUUAGAAGAGAUGUCUAGCCAAGACAAUAAUCAAUACUUCACACUUCAUCCAUAGGUAAGACUCCUCCCUCUCCUCCCCCUGCUGCUCCCCAGCCAGGGCCAGCAGUGAGAGAGUCUGUGAUCUAGGAAGGAGGUUGCAGUGGCUUC
rnacentral:lncRNA from 1 species